GAUGAAGAACGUAGCGAAAUGCGAUAAGUAAUGUGAAUUGCAGAAUUCAGUGAAUCAUCGAAUCUUUGAACGCACAUUGCGCCCCCUGGUAUUCCGGGGGGCAUGCCUGUUCGAGCGUCAUUACAACCCUCAAGCUCUGCUUGGUGUUGGGCCCCGCCGCCCCGGCGGGCCCUAAAAUCAGUGGCGGUGCCGUCCGGCUCCGAGCGUAGUAAUUCUUCUCGCUCUGGAGGUCCGGGUGUGUGCUCGCCAGCAACCCCCAAUUUUUUUCAGGUUGACCUCGGAUCAGGUAGGAAUACCCGCUGAACUUAAGCAUAUCAAUAAGCGGAGGA
rnacentral:misc_RNA from 1 species